ensembl:lncRNA
GGGUGAAGGGACAAUGCAUAGGUAACAAACAGUAGUACAGGUUAGUUCAUUUGUUCAUGUAGGUGGGGGUGAAGGGACUAUGCAUAGGUAACAAACAGUAGUACAGGUUAGUUCAUUUGUUCAUGUAGGUGGGGGUGAAGGGACUAUGCAUAGGUAACAAACAGUAGUACAGGUUAGUUCAUUUGUUCAUGUAGGUGGGGGUGAAGGGACUAUGCAUAGGUAACAAACAGUAGUACAGGUUAGUUCAUUUGUUCAUGUAGGUGGGGGUGAAGGGACUAUGCAUAGGUAACAAACAGUAGUACAGGUUAGUUCAUUUGUUCAUGUAGGUGGGGGUGAAGGGACUAUGCAUAGGUAACAAACAGUAGUACAGGUUAGUUGAGGUGGGGG